rnacentral:rRNA from 1 species
GAUGAACGCUGGCGGCGUGCCUAAUACAUGCAAGUCGAGCGAACGGACGAGAAGCUUGCUUCUCUGAUGUUAGCGGCGGACGGGUGAGUAACACGUGGAUAACCUACCUAUAAGACUGGGAUAACUUCGGGAAACCGGAGCUAAUACCGGAUGAUAUUUUGAACCGCAUGGUUCAAAAGUGAAAGACGGUCUUGCUGUCACUUAUAGAUGGAUCCGCGCUGCAUUAGCUAGUUGGUAAGGUAACGGCUUACCAAGGCAACGAAGCAUAGCCGACCUGAGAGGGUGAUCGGCCACACUGGAACUGAGACACGGUCCAGACUCCUACGGGAGGCAGCAGUAGGGAAUCUUCCGCAAUGGGCGAAAGCCUGACGGAGCAACGCCGCGUGAGUGAUGAAGGUCUUCGGAUCGUAAAACUCUGUUAUUAGGGAAGAACAUAUGUGUAAGUAACUGUGCACAUCUUGACGGUACCUAAUCAGAAAGCCACGGCUAACUACGUG